GCAGAAGACCCCCAUCAGGGUGCGGGGUGCAGUUGCGGCUCCAGGGCCAUGGCGGAGGAGCAGGGCCGGGAACGGGACUCGGUUCCCAAGCCGUCGGUGCUGUUCCUCCACCCAGACCUGGGCGUGGGCGGCGCUGAGCGGCUGGUGUUGGACGCGGCGCUGGCGCUGCAGGCGCGCGGGUGUAGCGUGAAGAUCUGGACAGCGCACUACGACCCGGGCCACUGUUUCGCCGAGAGCCGCGAGCUACCGGUGCGCUGUGCCGGGGACUGGCUGCCGCGAGGCCUGGGCUGGGGCGGCCGCGGCGCCGCCGUCUGCGCCUACGUGCGCAUGGUUUUCCUGGCGCUCUACGUGCUGUUCCUCGCCGACGAGGAGUUCGACGUGGUAGUGUGCGACCAGGCCAUUUGCAUCCCACUGUCCUUGUGUUCGGAGCCAGGCCACACCGUCCUCAGCAGUGUCAUGUGUUAAAAACGCCAAGCUGAAUAUAUCAUGCCCCUAUUAAAACUUGUACAUGGCUCCCCAUUGGUUUUUGGAGAAAAGUUCAAGCUUUUUACCUUGGUGUCUGCCUGUAUCCCAGUGUUCAGGCUGGCUAGACGGCGGAAGAAGAUCCUAUUUUACUGUCACUUCCCAGAUCUGCUUCUCACCAAGAGAGAUUCUUUUCUUAAACGACUAUACAGGGCCCCAAUUGACUGGAUAGAGGAAUACACCACAGGCAUGGCAGACUGCAUCUUAGUCAACAGCCAGUUCACAGCUGCUGUUUUUAAGGAAACAUUCAAGUCCCUGUCUCACAUAGACCCUGAUGUCCUCUAUCCAUCUCUAAAUGUCACCAGCUUUGACUCAGUUGUUCCUGAAAAGCUGGAUGACCUAGUCCCCAAGGGGAAAAAAUUCCUGCUGCUCUCCAUCAACAGAUACGAAAGGAAGAAAAAUCUGACUUUGGCACUGGAAGCCCUAGUACAGCUGCGUGGAAGAUUGACAUCCCAAGAUUGGGAGAGGGUUCAUCUGAUCGUGGCAGGUGGUUAUGACGAGAGAGUCCUGGAGAAUGUGGAACAUUAUCAGGAAUUGAAGAAAAUGGUCCAACAGUCCGACCUUGGCCAGUAUGUGACCUUCUUGAGGUCUUUCUCAGACAAACAGAAAAUCUCCCUCCUCCACAGCUGCACGUGUGUGCUUUACACACCAAGCAAUGAGCACUUUGGCAUUGUCCCUCUGGAAGCCAUGUACAUGCAGUGCCCAGUCAUUGCUGUUAAUUCGGGUGGACCCUUGGAGUCCAUUGACCACAGUGUCACAGGGUUUCUGUGUGAGCCUGACCCGGUGCACUUCUCAGAAGCAAUAGAAAAGUUCAUCCGUGAACCUUCCUUAAAAGCCACCAUGGGCCUGGCUGGAAGAGCCAGAGUGAAGGAAAAAUUUUCCCCUGAAGCAUUUACAGAACAGCUCUACCGAUAUGUUACCAAACUGCUGGUAUAAUCAGAUUGUUUUUAAGAUCUCCAUUAAUGUCAUUUUUAUGGAUUGUAGACCCAGUUUUGAAACCAAAAAAGAAACCUAGAAUCUAAUGCAGAAGAGAUCUUUUAAAAAAUAAACUUGAGUCUUGAAUGUGAGCCACUUUCCUAUAUACCACACCUCCCUGUCCACUUUUCAGAAAAACCAUGUCUUUUAUGCUAUAAUCAUUCCAAAUUUUGCCAGUGUUAAGUUACAAAUGUGGUGUCAUUCCAUGUUCAGCAGAGUAUUUUAAUUAUAUUUUCUCGGGAUUAUUGCUCUUCUGUCUAUAAAUUUUGAAUGAUACUGUGCCUUAAUUGGUUUUCAUAGUUUAAGUGUGUAUCAUUAUCAAAGUUGAUUAAUUUGGCUUCAUAGUAUAAUGAGAGCAGGGCUAUUGUAGUUCCCAGAUUCAAUCCACCGAAGUGUUCACUGUCAUCUGUUAGGGAAUUUUUGUUUGUCCUGUCUUUGCCUGGAUCCAUAGCGAGAGUGCUCUGUAUUUUUUUUAAGAUAAUUUGUAUUUUUGCACACUGAGAUAUAAUAAAAGGUGUUUAUCAUAAAAAAGAAACAGUAUUAGAUUUUGGUCUCCAUAAUCUAUUUUGGUAUUGUUACGAACAUGGAUAUGACAACCAAACUGGAAAUCAGAACACUAGGGUAAAGUGGAUAUUGAAAUGAAGCAAGAAUAUUGUCACACAUGUGUUGUGCAUCUUGUUUAGGGUAUAUUUCUUAAUGUCAUCUAGGUCAUUAGUUUUGUUAAUAUUUGUGUUGUCUUGACCAAGCUCCUACUAAGUAUAGGACACAAAUGUUUUUUAUCUUCCAAGGCCUGGCUCAAAUGCCACUGCUGCAAAGCUUUCUUUGACCCUCUGGCCACCUCCCAAGCCAGAAGUUAUCUUCCCCCUCCAUGUACUCUAGCCUUUUCAUGACACUGAUAUUUUCGUGACACUGACUUAUAGUUCACUGUUUACCUGUUGGUCUAACAGCAAAUCAUAAACAGUAGUUUUCAACAUACUUCUAAGGCUAAAUUCAUUUCCAGAAGUAGCAAAGCUUACUAGCCAAAGGCUCCACAUUUAUCAACUCUUAAGAGCUAGACUUGAGAGCCUAACAGCCUAUAUGAUUUUGUGUAAAUUGAUCUCUAUACCUCAGCUUCUUCAUCUGCAAAGUGAGAUAAUUGUACUAUUCUACUUUCCUCAUAGUGCGGUUAUAACAGAUUAUGAUAAUAUUACAAAGUACUUAAUACUUGGCAUAUAGUAUAUAUAUUAGCUAUUAGUAUUUUGCAAUUUGGGGAUAUUGAAAAUUAGAAAUUGCAUGUUAGUUCAUGCUGCACUACCAUAUUGUUCUUUUGGGGCUCUUCAAUGGGUGAAAUUCCAUUUUACAGUUUAUCAUGUGCAUCUGUAUCACAGGAGUAUUUUGGCAAAAUGAUUCUGUACCAAAAAGGAGUACUAUAAAAUGAGGGUGCCAAAUAUAUUGAGUCUUUUAUGGGAUUAAAAGUUCUGUUGCAUUCCA